GAUCAUGGCUCAGGACGAACGCUGGCGGCGCGCCUAACACAUGCAAGUCGAACGAGAGAGAGGGAGCUUGCUUCCUCAAUCGAGUGGCGAACGGGUGAGUAACGCGUGAGGAACCUGUCUCAAAGAGGGGGGACAACAGUUGGAAACGACUGCUAAUACCGCAUAAGCCCACGACCCGGCAUCGGGUUGAGGGAAAAGGAGCAAUCCGCUUUGAGAUGGCCUCGCGUCCGAUUAGCUAGUUGGUG
rnacentral:rRNA from 1 species